UUAGCUUUGCAGAAGGAUAUGCAGGGAGUGCCAGCCAGAUACAGUAGCUGAAGCAGGUCUGGGGGAGCCGAAGCAAGCCAAAACCGCAUGAAGAGGCUCCUCUGUGGCUUUGCGCGCAGAGAGGAGGAAAACUUUCAAAAUCACUGAAGGCUUAGGUCAAGACUGAAGAGCAACCAGCCACGUGGAUUCCUUGCUUUUGGGGUGAGGCAAAGCCACUUUAAGGAUUCUGGGAUAUGCGACAGCCAAGAAACACUUUCAGGUUGUAUUUCCAUGGCUACUUGGAGAUGGAUACUUUUGUUACAGUUGGUUGAGAUGGUUGAAGUUCAGAGACAUGAAUUCCACCGUCCACUGAGAGCCAUCGCUGGGUCAUAUGGCGGGGACCACGUAAAGCCUGAGAGGAAAGCAGACCACCGGCUUUACAAGAGAGAGAAACAAGUGGAGCUGAAGGCACAGUGGUAGACUGCUAGCCUGGCAGACACAAAGCCCUGCGUGUGGGUCCCAGCAUUGCAUAGACUGGAGAUAGUGGCCCAGCACUGGAGAGGAUCACAAGUUCAAGGUUAUUAUCAGUGCAUUGGGAGUUUAUGGCCAGCCUGGGCUAUAUGAGACUUUGUCAAAAACAAACAGGAGAAGAAGAAGAAGAAGAAGAAGAAGAAGAAGAAGAAGAAGAAGAAGAAGAAGAAGAAGAAGAAGAAGAAGAAGCCCCAAUUUAAAAAUUAACCCUAACUGGGCCCCUCUCUGUCCCGUCUAGCUCUAAGGGGAGCCUGCUGGCUGGGUGGCUUAGACACACAGAGCUGGCAGGCUGAGGCCACAUCUACCUUCUGUUCUUCACUGGAAGUAGGGCUGAGGCCCACAGAGACAGCAGAAAGCAUAGUCGAGAGUGACCAUCUCUGGAAACCAGGUGUCCAGUAGAGGAUGGGAAAUAAGAAGGGAUUUUUUUGGGGCUGCCUGCAGGACAGCAGAGCCUCUCUUGUGAGCAGCAGCCAGCCCCACACACAUGAGAACCCCGUGAAGCACGAAGGAGGACACCCAGGAGAAAUGUAGGGGACAGUUGCAGGUCAACACAGGGUAGGGUGCCCGGUUCUGCCAUGAAGCAGAGUCCCUUCCUCAUAAGAUCUGAAAGCAUCCCUUCUCACACUGUCUCAAACCUUGCAGGCCAGUCCAAGCCACCAGCCCCAGCAACUUUGUUUGCCAUGGAAAGCAGGGCUUUGGACUGCCACUUCUGGCCCACCGCCUAGGACAAGGCCAUGCUCCGAAGGUCCUGAGAAGUUCUGCAGUCCCAGCUUUGCAGAUCUGUUCCCAUUGUGGAGGCAGCAGAAAAGUCAUUAUUGCCCAGGGCCUGUCCCCAACCUGCCCUGAGGUGUUCCUCCCAACCCUCCACCGUCCACACCCUGUUUUGUUUGUUUGUUUGUUUGUUUUUGUUGUUGUUGUUUUUAACUCCACUGCUCUGGUUUCUGCAUUAGUGUGGCACAGUGUGCGUUUCUUAAUGGUUGUAUUGCCUCUUUCUUAGAAGAGUAGCCACAGACUGCAGUGUGGGGGCUAUUUUACUGUCAACAGGUGCUUAAACUAAUCACUGGGAGAGUGGAGAAGUAGAAAAGAGGAAAGAAGUGGGGGAAAAGGGAGAACAAAGAAAUCAUCUUCCCUUGGAUGAUGGCUGCAUGGAUGGAGGGAAGAGGAAGAGAAGGGGGAAGGAGAAACAGGAAGAAAAUGGGAAGUGAGGGAGAGAAGGAAGGAGUGAAAAGAGAGGAAAUGGGACAGACAGAUAGAUGGGUGGAACCAUCUUGGUUUCAUCUUAGCACAAGAAAGCUGGUGUGAUGGUUCAUGUGGAGAUGCUCCCAUGCCUGCAGGUGGAAACAAAGGAGACAAAGAAGAGAGCAACCACAGCUCAGCACUGGUUUGGAGAAACUGAGGACUGGCCCCUGGCCCCUGGCCCCUGGCCCCUGUCAGCAAGCCAUAUAUGUGGGUUCCUUGGCAGCCAGGGCCACAGUAGCCCAGGACCCUGGGAUGGGACAAAGGAUUGUGGGAGCAUGAUGGGCUCCCUCUGUGAGCCUUGCAUGCAGAGCGUGGUGUGUGGCUCCCACUGUCUCCUCAUUAGAUGAGGGGACUUGGCUCUGAGAGGAAAGGUGUUUUCAUAUCCUCUUGACUCAUUUUCCCCAUCCUGGCCCAACAGAGGAAAAGCCUGAGCAGGUUUGUCCACCAAGGCCAGCUCUUGAUCUGGAGAGACUUGGAGAAGGGCCUCCACAGUGGGUUCUGAGCUCACCUGAGGGGAAUGAGGAGCCUGAGAUGGAGACAUUAGGCAGGCAGAAGGGGAGGGGGGUGACUGGGUAGGCCACUGAGCCCAUAGUGUUCCCUGACCCUUUGAUCCAUUCUCUCUCCUGUCUUGGUAGCAAUGGCUCAGCACACUCCCAUGGCCACCUCUCAUAAAGUCACAUGGGCCGAAGGGCCCCUCUCCUCCCCUCAGAAAGAGAUGAAGGGUUUUCCGGAGACAAGGAAGACUUUACAUGUCUAUCUUUUCUUCCUGGUGUCCCAAAGGUCCUCUUCCUCUCCUCAGCUCCUCUUCUACCUGAGACAUGGCUCCUGGCCUAAGUGGAGGUCCCAUGCCUUCUAAGAGAAAUGUUGCUUCCAAAUUUGGAACUAGUGGAUAGCAAGGCUCAGAAAAUUUCACCCUGAGGAUUGGAAAACUGGACCUAGUUGAUGAAGAAGUGCUGGAAGGACCCAGAAGUUUCUGGAGGAUGAGGCAAAGGGCCAGGAGGAGAAGUGGGGGCCUGGUGGCCCUGUCUCCACCCCCCAUUCCUUCCUCCUCAUUUAUAAUCUGUGAGGUUGUCUUUAUUUCAUCAGACACUGGAGCAGACAAGUGUGGGAAACUGAAGAGGGAGGACCUUUCAAGAGCCCUAAGAAGAGGAGGUGGACCGGAGUGGGUAGGGAGGGGGAGAUGGAGGAAUGAGGAGGGAAGAGGGAGAGAGAGGGGAGGAGAUGGAGAGACAUGGGCUGGGGCUGGGGGCACAGAGUCACAGCCAGCCAGCUAGGAGGGAGGGCAUGGGGGCUGUGGUCCCCCAAGUCCCCUGGAAGGAGGGAGGGUUUAUCUCACCAGGAACAGCAGCUCAGCCACUGAUCUAAUCAAAUUAUUCAGCAUUAAAAACUGCCAAGACAUUCCGGGACUUCAGCUCCCGGAGCCCCAGCUGGGAUCAAAUGCUAACCAACGUCGCUGCGAUAUUUAUUCCCACUGUCAGCUGCUGCUGGUCGCUUGUUUUCCGAGGGCUGCAUACUAAAAUAGAGGCCCUGGAGGGAUGGGGGUGAGGGUGAGGGGGCUAUCUGGAAAGAAGGCAAGCAGGUAGGGGGGACGAAUGCCCCUAGAACCCAGCACAGGGUCUCUUAAUUGUCCCCAGGCCACUGUCCUCCCAUUUCAAGCCCCUUUCAGGCCAGCUAGCUGAGGUUUUGAGCUGAGACACUUAACCUUGAAAGUUGGUCUGAGUGACUCCGGGUAGGUGACUCUCCUUGUCUGAACUCCUACUCCAUCCCCUGGAGCAUGGGGUCCCCUUUGCUAUGCAUUUAAUAAGAGGAAGAAAAUAACAGGAGUAGCUUCAUGGGGCCUGCUGCAGAGCACGAACAGCCCUGGCUGUGUGGUGUUCUCAGAGGUACUUGCCCUCUCUGUGUCUCGGUUUCUACCUCCAUAAAAACAGACGUGGUGAUCAGAGUCAAGCCCAGAAGUCGGCUAUCUCAUGGUUAAAGGAAGAUCAGUAUACCAGAGGACUGUGGUGAGAGCCCAGUGUGUACUGGAAACAGUUCCUGUGCAACAGCAAGGUGGGACGGUGAAUAUACCAUUCAGCAGUGCCCCUGGAGACAAAUGCCAGCCAGGGCAGAAGAUGAUUCUGUCCUGUCGGAGGGUGAAGGUGCCGGGUGCUGGGAUCCCCAUGAGGGGUCUCUGUAGCCACACACAGAGUGAACAUCCCUGCAAGUUGAAGUUCAGAGGCCAUUCUUGCCCCUCAGGACAGAAGCAGCCAAGCAGAAGGACUGUGAGCCUUCGGGACACGAGUCUGCCGCCAUCUCCCUGAAGGUCAUGGCACCCAGGGAAGACUAAUUAAUUUCCUUUGUUUUUCAGAGUUUCAUUUUUUUAAAUUACAGACUCCCUCCUCUGUAAUAAAUACUCAACAAUUAAAGCGUUUUUUUUU